ensembl:lncRNA
AAUUGAUCCUGAGCUUGUCCUCUGAGUAGGGCAGCUGGCGUGGUUCGGUCCCACCAGGGAAGGCCAAUAUCCUGGUGCUGACCUCCAUGGCCAAUAACCUGGCUUCUCUGAACCAUUUCGGCUUUUGUUUCCUUGAAGACUGAGCGCUUUGGAGACUGAUGAUGUCAUGUGUCAGAAACAUGGCGUGAAACUGUAAGAAAGCGUGAAAAACAACGAGAAUGUCUCCCAAACCCCGAAAGCGUGAAACAAGCUGAGCAUCAAUAAGAGCAAACGUCUUAUUCAUGACAGUAAACAUAAAUGGGUGAAGACAUUCAAAUACAAAAUUGAUCUUAGCUUGGAAUAAAAAAAUGGCAAGCAGAAUCUCAUAUGUUACUUGUAAAGGACUGACUAUCUAAGAAAGGAAAGAAGAAGAAAAAAGAAAACGGGAAGGUUAAAAGCAAAGUGUUGGGCUAACGUAUGCAGGUGAAGAUAGAAAGAAAAGACUAUAGAGAACUUUCUGGGUAGCUAAGAAAAUAAAUGUGAGCAUCUUGAAAUAAGGACUAAUUUCAAAGAAUAUUUCUAAAAAAUUCACUUUAGAAGUGGAAAAUCUUGAAAGAUAGAGUAACUAAGGACUGAUUUCCAGUGAUGCCAAAAUUUAUGCUUAAAAAAGGGUGCGAGGAUCAAGAUAGAUAGUUUUAUUGGUUGGGUUCAUUCAAACGUACGAGAAACAGAACAAGGAAAUAUAUGGGAAGUUUCCUUAUUCAUUUAUUAAUAACCUUGGACAGAACUGCCAUGAUGCCUACCUCUAGACAGAAAAGUCGUAGUCCAAUCUGAUCUGUGAAAAUAAGCAAAAUGUCCUGAAUGUAACACUCGCAAAUUGAGACGUGCAUUCUAUUAAAUGAAGAUGAGUUCAUGACCAAAUUAACAACAUUCCAGGAACGCAAUAAUGAUUUGAUGUUAGAAACGUUUUACUAUACAAUCCGUAGGUCGAAAGAAAUAUCUCAAUGGUAGCAAAAACAGCAUUGGUUAAAAUUUUCUGUCUGAAUUUCUCUCUCGUGCCAAAAGUAUUAGCUGCUAGCCCAAUGAAGAGCCACUUAGAAACCAUUACAAUGACUUAAGCUGGCGAGGAAUAUGAAGUGCUGUGUGAAUACAGCCUGCGCUUCUGAAUUUUCUAGGAGUUAAUACUGGGACAGGUCAGAACCACACAGAGCAUUUUACCAAUGGACGCUGAUCCAUCCUUGACGAUUCCUUUCCACCUGUGAGUCCUGACAGGAAGGUGGCAGAAACGAAUGCGACACCCUCAGCGUCUUCUACAAUGAUGAGAGGGAGGAGAAAGAUGGAGAGGAAAAUAUCGAAAGGUAUUUUCAACAAAAAUUACUGGGCGAUACGUCACACACGCUAAAGAGUGCGUACAACAUCCAUGUGCAGCUCAGUGAAUGCCAGCAUCCCUCUGUCCAGCUUAAGGAGACCUGCAGUGCCUCAAUGCUGAACCAUGGGGUGAAAUCUCCCCCACCAAGUAAACCCCAUCCUGAGCUUGCUUGUCAUUCUUGUGUUUAUCUUCGUGUCUUGGUACCUAUGUAUAAAUCAACAGACCAAAUGGUGUUUCGUUGUGCCCGUUUUUGAACUUUCUAUGUGGGAUGUGUGCAAUGUGUUACUAUGGCGGCUGUGAGAAUGUGCCUCAUGUUUCCUUCUACAGGGAGCGCCACUGACCGAGGGCUCAGCUGCUAAACUCUGAGGUUCAUGGGUGCUGGUGCCCAGGCUGCCUCCCACAUGCUGCUCGCUGGCGGUGGCUGUGGGGAGGAUGCUCAGGCAGCCCUGUUCCUGGAGGCAGGCCCUUUGCAGGCCAACUGUGGCUCCAUGACUCCCUGAAGCAUAUUUCUCGGACCACAUGGCGGUCUAGGAUGCUUCCGCC